AGUGAACGCUGGCGGUAGGCCUAACACAUGCAAGUCGAACGGCAGCACAGUAAGAGCUUGCUCUUACGGGUGGCGAGUGGCGGACGGGUGAGUAAUACAUCGGAAUCUACUUUUUCGUGGGGGAUAACGUAGGGAAACUUACGCUAAUACCGCAUACGACCUACGGGUGAAAGCAGGGGAUCUUCGGACCUUGCGCGAUUGAAUGAGCCGAUGUCGGAUUAGCUAGAUGGCGGGGUAAAGGCCCACCAAGGCGACGAUCCGUAGCUGGUCUGAGAGGAUGAUCAGCCACACUGGAACUGAGACACGGUCCAGACACCUACGGGAGGCAGCAGUGGGGAAUAUUGGACAAUGGGCGCAAGCCUGAUCCAGCCAUACCGCGUAGGUGAAGAAGGCCUUCGGGUUGUAAAGCCCUUUUGUUGGGAAAGAAAAGCAGCAGGUUAAUACCCCGCUGUUCUGACGGUACCCAAAGAAUAAGCACCGGCUAACUUCGUG
rnacentral:rRNA from 1 species